UGGACUUAAACCAGAAGUGCUUAACUUAACUCUUUGGAGUCCUGGACCCCUCCUGGCAGUCUCAUAAAGCCUGUGGAUUUUCCUCUGAAUAAUGUUUAGAACCUAAGAUUUGACAGCAGGGAGUCUCCUAUUGCUUUAAAGUCCUUUUUCCAAAGAAAAUAACCUGAGUGUGAAAUGAAUUGACAGACUAAAUCGCGUAUUUGCGGCUGAGCCUGAGGAACUUU